UCUCCGUUGGUGAACCAGCGGAGGGAUCAUUACCGAGUUAUCAACUCCCAAACCCCUGUGAACAUACCUGUACGUUGCCUCGGCGGGACCGCCCCGGCGCCCAUCUCGCGGCCCGGAACCAGGCGCCCGCCGGAGGUAUAUAACUCUUUGUAUUAUGGUCUCUCUGAGUAAAUUUAUAAUAAGUCAAAACUUUUAACAACGGAUCUCUUGGUUCUG
rnacentral:misc_RNA from 1 species